CCUUUAGACCAUGACCACGAAUUAAGAUAUACCUUAACUAUAGAUAAUAUAUUAUCUUAAUUCGUGACCAUGACGUAGCAUACAUUCGCCGGUCGCCUGCCGGCUAACCUUAAACUUUUUGUUUACAACACCGAUUCGUUAUUUCAAAUCGUUCAAUCGCUAAAUAUCGCUUCUGGUCAACCGCUACGGCCGGUUCUUCGUUCGUUUGUUCGGCGGCCGAUACUGCCGGAGUUCAGAUUUGUUCGUUGUCGCCCGCCGUCGGAUGUUCGCGUUUUAUUCGUGGUAGACGGUAUGUAGUCAGUUGUAGUUUUGUUACUCAUCAAUCGUAAUUCUCAAUACAAAAUACAAAUAAUUUUUUCCGUCGCGGUUUCGCUCGUGUGUUUCAGUGCAGUGUAAUACAGACGUCAAUACUAUACCUAAACGUACCCAUCCAGUGUCCGACGACCACCAUUUUUUAACACUGCGCACCGUUGUCCGACCACCUCUAUUCGUACAUUGUAUGCGUUUUCCCCGCGACUGAAGAAUAAAGAUAUUUUAUCGACGUUAACUUCGAACAAGCAUCAUCGAAUAUUAUGCGCGUUACGCUAAUACGGCUUACGCUAGCCACAUGGUUUUUUUAUACGUCCACGUCCGUCGUUCGACCGCUUCCGCCAUUGUUACCGUAAUAUGUCGACGCAUCGAACGCGCCCAAUUUUGUCGCUUCCAUUCUCGUUCGGCGCCGAUGACGAUGAAGCGAAUCCAAUCGCCGUAAUAUUACCGUAAUAUUAUUAUUUUUUUUUCAUGUUCCCGUUGUGUUUUCGUCCGGUGAAUCGACGCCCCAACGGCAGCCUAACCUAUGGUAUUUGUUUAGGGUGAUCAAUUGACGAUUCGCCUACAGCAGUAAGUUGUCGCGGGUGCGUGCAGUUUAUCGUUCACCAUACGCAUCAAGUGAAUGGUGUUUUCUUGUGAAUGGUGCUAUCCACGAUGGUGAAAACGAUUGAUGGCUCGGUCACAAUUUAAGGUAACUCAUCGAUAACAAAUAAAUAACUAAGUUAUUUACGUUCUGGUCAACGGCAAACAAUUAAUUAUAAUAUUCUAAUGCAUUGUUCACGAUAUUUCAAUGAUAGUCAUGUAUGGUUUAAAAACAAACAGUCAAUUUGUUAGUCAUAAUACAUUUUUUAUACAUAAUAUAAUAAUAAUAAUAAUGAACUUUAUUGCAACAACAACAGUACAUACAUACCUAAUAAGAAAUAACAAAAAUAACACUAGUUACAUAUUGCAGCACCCCCUAAAAGCAAAGCUUGUGCUGGGGGAGCGAGUUCUUUCGACCUACCUAGAAAUAUACUUACAUUUGAAUAAUAUAAUAAUAAAUCUGUUUUUUAUACUAUUACACUAUAAACAUAAUAAUACAUAAUACAAUAUCUUAAAUAAUAGUCUCAUUAAGUAUAAUCAUAUUUUCUUUAAAUCAACAUGUCUAAGAUAAGUUUUGAAAGACUUUAAAUUUUCAAACUGAUUAAUAUUAAUAUUUAAUAAUCGACAUAAAUUUAAACCAGUAUACAAUACACUUUUUUGUCCAAAGGCUUUUUGGCAUUUCAAUAAACGAAUAUUAACAUUUUGCUUAUAUCUAGUAUCAUAAUCAUGAUCUGAUACAGGUAUUAAAUGUUUAUGCUUAAAUAAAUGAACUAAUACAGCUUGAUUAUAUACUACCUUAAAACUAUUUACAUUAAGUUUUUCAUAAAUUAAAAUAGUAUUUGUUUGCAGUGGAAGAUUUAAUAAAUAUUUAAUAAUACCA